rnacentral:rRNA from 1 species
GUAGGGAGCGAGCGUUGUCCGGAAUUACUGGGUGUAAAGGGUGCGUAGGCGGCUCUGGUAAGUUAGUGGUGAAAACUAUGGGCUUAACCCAUAGCCUGCCAUUAAAACUGCUGGGCUUGAGUGAAGUAGAGGUAGGCGGAAUUCCCGGUAUAGCGGUGAAAUGCGUAGAGAUCGGGAGGAACACCAGUGGCGAAGGCGGCCUACUGGGCUUUAACUGACGCUGAGGCACGAAAGUAUGGGUAGCAAACAGGAUUAGAUACCCUGGUAGUCCAUACCGUAAACGAUGAUUACUAGGUGUGGGGGGUCUAACCCCCUCCGUGCCGGAGUAAACACAAUAAGUAAUCCACCUGGGGAGUACGACCGCAAGGUUG